rnacentral:misc_RNA from 1 species
AAGUCGUAACAAGGUUUCCGUAGGUGAACCUGCGGAAGGAUCAUUAACACGAUGUCCAAUAGGCGGUUGUAACUCAGCAACCAUAGUUAGUCAUGGGGAGACUUAGAGGCUUUGGAUCGCGUCUCGGUUGCCAAUUGAUAUGACGACUGAGCUGAUCUCGAAAAAUAGUCUGCGAUUUACUGGUUCGGUGGCGGAGACUGAGGCACGAGGAGGAUGGGCCUGCUCGGAGACUCUUUGCUGCUGGAACUGAAACAGGUAAUUGCGGAUCGAGAACUGCCAAAGCGGAAACGCUCUUCCUCUGCAAACAGUCAGGGAGGUAACCAUGCGCCCGGGUAACAGCGCGGCGCCGUGGGCCCCCUUACCAAUCAACCCCCCGUACAACUGUUAACAACGGAUAUCUUGGUUCUC